rnacentral:rRNA from 1 species
CCUUGUACACACCGCCCGUCACACCAUGGGAGUUGGUUUUACCUUAAGACGGUGCGCUAACCGCGAGGGAGCAGCCGGCCACGGUAGGAUCAGCGACUGGGGUG